GGGAAGGGGCAUUGUAGCUCAGUGGGCAGAGCAUCUGCCUUGUGUGCAGAAGGGCCCAGGUUCAAUCCCUGGCCUCACCA